rnacentral:rRNA from 1 species
AGCAGCCGCGGUAAUUCCAGCUCCAAUAGCGUAUAUUAAAGUUGUUGCAGUUAAAAAGCUCGUAGUUGAAUUUCGGGGUUAGCAGGUCGGUCGUGCCAUCGGUAUGAACUGGUCUCGCUGAUCCCUCCCUCUUGACGAACUGUGAUGCCAUUAAUUUGGUGUCGCAGGGAAUCAGGACUGUUACUUUGAAAAAUUAGAGUGUUUAAAGCAGGCUCACGCUUGAAUACAUUAGCAUGGAAUAAUGAAAUAGGACGUUUGAUCCUAUUUUGUUGGCUUCUAGGAUUGACGUAAUGAUUAAUAGGGAUAGUUGGGGGCAUUAGUAUUCAAUUGUCAGAGGUGAAAUUCUUGGAUUUAUUGAAGACUAACUACUGCGAAAGCAUUUGCCAAGGAUGUUUUCAUUAAUCAAGAACGAAAGUUAGGGGAUCGAAGACGAUCAGAUACCGUCGUAGUCUUAACCAUAAACUAUGCCGACUAGGGAUCGGAUGAUGUUAAUUUUUAAUGUACUCU